rnacentral:rRNA from 1 species
CCCUUAGAUGUCCUGGGCUGCACGCGCGCUACACUGAUGUGUCCAGUAAGCACCUAACCUCUUCCGAAAGGAACGGGUGACCUUUGCAAAGCACAUCGUGAUGGGGAUAGAUUAUUGCAAUUAUUAGUCUUGAACGAGGAGUUCCUAGUAAGCACAAGUCAUCAGCUUGUGUUGAUUACGUCCCUGCCCUUUGUACACACCGCCCGUCGCUCCUACCGAUUGAAUGUUCCGGUGAGCUCUUCGGACUGCGCGGUCUGCAGUUUCUGCGUUCCGUGCGGAAAGUUGCGCAAACCUUAACAUUUAGAGGAAGGAGAAGUCGUAACA